rnacentral:rRNA from 1 species
CCCUUAGAUGUUCUGGGCUGCACGCGUGCUACACUGAUUACUUCAACAAGUGUUUUAACUGGAGAGUUUGCGUAAUCCUGAAAUGUUAUCGUGAUGGGAGUAGAGUAUUGUAUUUGUUAAUCUUUAACGAGGAAUUCCUAGUAAGUGUAGGUUUAUAAGUUGUUCUGAUUACGUCCCUGCCCUUUGUACACACCGCCCGUCGCUACUACCGAUUGAAUGGUUUAGUGAGAUCCUUGGAUCGGCCCUGUCGCGGCUGGCAACGGCCGCGUCGGCGCGUCGAGAAGACGAUCAAACUUGAUCAUUUAGAGGAAGUAAAAGUCGUAACA